UACGUAGGGGGCGAGCGUUGUCCGGAUUUAUUGGGCGUAAAGAGCGUGUAGGCGGUUCGGUAAGUCUGUCGUGAAAUCCUGAGGCUCAACCUCGGACGUGCGAUGGAUACUGCCGGGCUAGAGGAUGGUAGAGGCGAGUGGAAUUCCCGGUGUAGCGGUGAAAUGCGCAGAUAUCGGGAGGAACACCAGUAGCGAAGGCGACAUCCUGGACCGGUAUUGACGCUGAGGCGCGAAAGCCAGGGGAGCAAACGGG
rnacentral:rRNA from 1 species